rnacentral:lncRNA from 1 species
ACAUCAUAGCUGGGGAACAGGGAUUCACAAGACCCAGGCUGUUCCCUACAUAUUUUUCCUCCUCAGACAUCAGUUCAUCAGUCAAUCAAGUCAUGUGAGAGUGGAGGCCAUGUAUUCCGUAUUCUUGGGCACUCUCCUCCAAGGAGGAAAAGGCCAGGAGGUCCUGUUAGAGGAUGCACUCUGAGAGGCCGGGCUCCCUAAGGUGUGAGAGUUCUAACCAGCAGGUGUAGACUUUUCAGGAGUGAGGAAUGAGGCAGGCAUUCCAAACCUGGAGCUUCAUCACCUUUUGUUUCAUCUCAAGACAAUUCUGAGGGGCUGUUUUGGAACGUGUCUGGAAGGUGAACGUUGAAGAAGAGUGUGGGCUUUGAUGUGACUCAGAUAAGAUCUUUCAUGGGGAGGCAGGAAUUUAAUGCCCAGAAUCUGGGCUGGUGUCUUUGAGGUCAGUGGGUUGCCUUUUUGUAUCCAAGUCCAUUGUUACUAGGUUGGAGGCUGGAGAUUCUAAAUGGCUUCCAGACCGCCUCUCUGAUUCUCUUUUGGAGAUGGGGUCUGAAAAAGA